AUAGCGUAUAUUUAAGUUGUUGCAGUUAAAAAGCUCGUAGUUGGAUUUCGGGUGGGUUCUAGCGGUCCGCCUAUGGUGAGUACUGCUAUGGCCUUCCUUUCUGUCGGGGACGGGCUUCUGGGCUUCACUGUCCGGGACUCGGAGUCGACGUGGUUACUUUGAGUAAAUUAGAGUGUUCAAAGCAGGCUUACGCCCUGAAUACUUUAGCAUGGAAUAACACGAUAGGACUCUGGCCUAUCUUGUUGGUCUGUAGGACCGGAGUAAUGAUUAAGAGGGACAGUCGGGGGCAUUCGUAUUUCAUUGUCAGAGGUGAAAUUUUUGGAAUUUAUGAAAGACGAACUACUGCGAAAGCAUUUGCCAAGGAUGUUUUCAUUAAUCAAGAACGAAAGUUGGGGGCUCGAAGACGAUUAGAUACCGUCG
rnacentral:rRNA from 1 species